rnacentral:lncRNA from 1 species
GCUGCGUGCCUUUAGAGAUUUUUCCCCGAGUCAAACCCGGAUGGACUUGCGAGCGAUAAUUAUGAGGCUGACUUGCAUGUUUUCCUUCAUCCUGCUGUUUGGAGUGGCUGGCCUUGUCAUCUUCAUUCACCUGCAGGAUCCGGCUGACAUAAUUCACCAGCAGACACCAGCUUUCCUUGACAAGAAAACUCACCGUGGUCCAUCCCCUCCCUAUUAA